rnacentral:piRNA from 1 species
UGCAGCUGGACAACUGGAUGGUGAAGAGU